rnacentral:piRNA from 1 species
GUUUCUAGGAGGCACGAUCUC